UGCAAGUCGGNUGUGCCGCAAGGUGCAUGGCAGACGGGUGAGUAACGCGUGGGGAAUCUACCUCUUUGUGGGGAAUAACGCUCCGAAAGGAGUGGUAAUACCGCAUGAGAUCCAUGGCUGGGAUGCUGUGGAUGAAACCUGGGGAUCGCAAGACCUGGGGCAAGGAGAGGAUCCUGCGUCUGAUUAGCUAGUUGGUGAGGUAACGGCCCACCAAGGCAACGAUCAGUAGCCGGCCUGAGAGGGUGAUCGGCCACACUGGAACUGAGACACGGUCCAGACUCCUACGGGAGGCAGCAGUGGGGAAUUUUGCGCAAUGGGCGAAAGCCUGACGCAGCAACGCCGCGUGGGUGAUGAAGGUCUUCGGAUCGUAAAACCCUGUCGUCGGGGACGAAGGUUUGGGCGUUAAUAGCGCUUAAGUUUGACGGUACCCGGAGAGGAAGCCCCGGCUAACUCUGUGCCAGCAGCCGCGGUAAUACAGAGGGGGCAAGCGUUAUUCGGAAUUAUUGGGCGUAAAGGGCGCGUAGGCGGCUUUUUAAGUGAGAUGUGUAAUCCCCGAGCUC
rnacentral:rRNA from 1 species